rnacentral:rRNA from 1 species
UGGGAGCGGCAGACGGGUGAGUAACGCGUGGGGAUCUACCCAUUGGUACGGAAUAACCCAGGGAAACUUGGACUAAUACCGUAUGUGCCCUUCGGGGGAAAGAUUUAUCGCCAAUGGAUGAACCCGCGUCGGAUUAGCUAGUUGGUGAGGUAAAGGCUCACCAAGGCGACGAUCCGUAGCUGGUCUGAGAGGAUGAUCAGCCACACUGGGACUGAGACACGGCCCAGACUCCUACGGGAGGCAGCAGUGGGGAAUAUUGGACAAUGGGCGCAAGCCUGAUCCAGCCAUGCCGCGUGAGUGAUGAAGGCCUUAGGGUUGUAAAGCUCUUUCGCCGGUGAAGAUAAUGACGGUAACCGGAGAAGAAGCCCCGGCUAACUUCGUGCCAGCAGCCGCGGUAAUACGAAGGGGGCUAGCGUUGCUCGGAAUCACUGGGCGUAAAGCGCACGUAGGCGGAUCGUUAAGUCAGGGGUGAAAUCCUGGGGCUCAACCUCAGAACUGCCCUUGAUACUGG